rnacentral:rRNA from 1 species
UGGGGAAUAUUGCGCAAUGGGCGAAAGCCUGACGCAGCGACGCCGCGUGAGGGAUGAAGGCCUUCGGGUUGUAAACCUCUUUCAGCGCCGAAGAAGCGUAAGUGACGGUAGGCGCAGAAGAAGCACCGGCUAACUACGUGCCAGCAGCCGCGGUAAUACGUAGGGUGCAAGCGUUGUCCGGAAUUAUUGGGCGUAAAGAGCUCGUAGGCGGUUUGUCGCGUCUGCUGUGAAAACUCGGGGCUUAACCCCGGGCCUGCAGUGGGUACGGGCAGACUAGAGUGCGGUAGGGGAGACUGGAAUUCCUGGUGUAGCGGUGAAAUGCGCAGAUAUCAGGAGGAACACCGGUGGCGAAGGCGGGUCUCUGGGCCGUAACUGACGCUGAGGAGCGAAAGCGUGGGGAGCGAACAG